rnacentral:rRNA from 1 species
UACCAGCACCCCGAGUGGUCGGGACGUUUAUUGGGCCUAAAGCAUCCGUAGCCGGUUCUACAAGUCUUCCGUUAAAUCCAACUGCUUAACAGGUGGGCUGCGGAAGAUUACUAUAGAGCUAGGAGGCGGGAGAGGCAAGCGGUACUCGAUGGGUAGGGGUAAAAUCCGUUGAUCCAUUGAAGACCACCAGUGGCGAAGGCGGCUUGCCAGAACGCGCUCGACGGUGAGGGAUGAAAGCUGGGGGAGCAAACCGG